rnacentral:rRNA from 1 species
UACAGAGGUCUCAAGCGUUUGUUCGGAUUCAUUGGGCGUAAAGGGUGCGUAGGUGGCGCGGUAAGUCGGGUGUGAAAAUUUCGGAGCUUAACUCCGAAACUGCAUUCGAUACUGCCGUGCUUGAGGACUGGAGAGGAGACUGGAAAUUUACGGUGUAGCAGUGAAAUGCGUAGAGAUCGUAAGGAAGACCAGUGGCGAAGGCGGGUCUCUGGACAGUUCCUGACACUGAGGCACGAAGGCCAGGGGAGCAAACGGG